CUCUUGGUGCUCUGGGAGAUCAAAAUCCCCUUGAAGAUCCGCAUUUUCCUUUGGCAAUGGGUCCGCGGUCGCCUACCCUCGGGUACGGAGGUCCGCAAACGUAAUGGCCCGGGGGAUGGUCUAUGCCCCAUUUGUUUGGUACCGGAAGACUGCAAUCACAUCUUUUUUCGGUGCCCGGUGGCACAAUUCCUUUGGAGUUGCCUCCGGGAGGUGGUCGGUGGCAACUGGUGCCAUAACAACCUCCCGGACUUGUUUGGGGAGGUCCUUAGGCUCCCCGGCUCUAGCCGUCCACCCAUGUGGGUGGUGUUGGGCACCCUAGCAUGGACCCUCUGGUGUAAUCGUAAUAAGCUAGUCAUAGAACGCGUGAUCCCUUGGCGUGUGACUGAUGCUAUCUACAAAUUGUGUGGCCUUCUACAGCUUUGGAAACCGCUUAGCAAGCGGAGAGACCGGGACGCCAUCGACAUCAUCAUAGCGGGUCUUCAUUCUUCGACAUCGGCUUUUGCGCCGCCUCCACCACCUCCUCCGCCACCUCCUGAGCCGGAUUAG
rnacentral:rRNA from 1 species